CUGGUCAGAGCUUUCUCUUUCUCUCUCUUCUCUCUCUUUUUUGCGAGUGAUCCAGUCCCGAUCGAGCCAUCAGGCUGUUCAGAGCAGAACACAUGUUUCAUUUUGGGCUGAAAUAGGAACAUUUGUCUGAGACAAGAGACUGAACAGAGGAGACAUGGAAACUGUGGUUGUAAUGAUGGUGGUGCUGGGACUCUGUCAUGGUGUAGAAACCUACUGUGAUGGCAGACAGAACGGAACUCAGUGUUAUGGAGCUUUAGGAGGAACAGUGGACGUUCAGCUGAUGGACAGAGACUCAAGAAUAUAUAGAUACUGGUGGAAAAAGGAUCAAAGACUGAUACUGGGUGGCAGAAUGGAUCAAAUUCUGUCUAAUCAUAUAGAAAACAGAUCCGUGUUUACUCCCAGUAAUGGAACAAUCAGGAUCAUUAACCUGAGCAGGAAUGACAGUGGUGAAUAUCAGCUUGAACUCUAUGAUUCAAAUGGACAGAAAUCAGAGGAACGAACUCUACAUUUGACCGUUCAAGGUAAAUACAUUGUCUCUGACUACAACACUGGAAAUAAAAUUCACUCACAUUAGUGCUAAACAUAUUAUUUAAUUUAAUGCAGCUCCUGUGGGCUCCGUCCUGCUGCUCUCUGAGUGUCUGUCUGAGGGACAGAUGAGGGCGUCCUGCUCCUCUGAGGGAGGGGACAGUCCUCAGUACAGCUGGACUCUGGAUGGACACACACUGACACAUGCUGAGCUCCUCUCUGGAAACAAUGAGACCAACAACAUCACUCUGAAACAACACGUCUCAGGACGUCUGCUCUGUUCAGUCAGGAAUCAAGUCAGUCGUGUCUCCAGAGAAGAGACGAUCACUGACUGUGGUGAGUGAGAACAUGAGUAGAAAUCCAGCUGGAAGUGUUGAUGUCACUCAUUAGAGUCAGUGUGAACAUGAUCAUUGAUGUGUUUCUUCAUCUCAGGCUUCAUCUUCAUUAACUGCACCUCAUUCAAUGGGACUUACAUCUCACAGUCGGUGUCUGCAGCUAAUAACACUCUGUGUGUUGAACCAACAACUCAUCCUACUACAGUCACAGAAGCUCAUGUCUCCACUGUCGGUAAGAAAGUGGACUGAAACACUAACAGAUGAUAAAUAAUGGACAAACACUGGCCUGACUUUUUUCAAAUCUA
rnacentral:lncRNA from 1 species